rnacentral:rRNA from 1 species
UACGGGGGGGGUAAGCGUUGUUCGGAAUUACUGGGCGUAAAGGGCUCGUAGGCGGCCAACUAAGUCAGACGUGAAAUCCCUCAGCUUAACUGGGGAACUGCGUCUGAUACUGGAUGGCUUGGAUUUGGGAGAGGGAUGCGGAAUUCCAGGUGUAGCGGUGAAAUGCGUAGAUAUCUGGAGGAAUACCGAUGGCGAAGGCAGGUCUCUGGGCUGACACUGACGCUCAUGCACGAAAGCGUGGGGAGCAAACAGG